rnacentral:lncRNA from 1 species
UCAGAUUCACAUGUUUACAUGUUGUAUAUGGUUCCAAAAGGUAUCUGGAAAGUAAAGAAAGUGAGAAGAAUGAGGGGCCAGCAGCAGCAAACAGUAUCAGUAGUAAUGCAACAGUGUUAGCAGCUGAAUUGAACCCAGACUUCCAAAGAAAAACCAGCUCCAGGCGACUCAAAUCAGACCUCUAACCCUCACUCAAGCCAUUUCUUCACCCAGAUACAACUUUAGAAUUUUUCAGAAAAAUUGUAACUUAACAACAGAUUCAAAAAACUAAAAACCAAAAUCAAAACUAGUUCAAGCAAUUUUCAGCAUUUUUUCGAAAUUUCAGAAAGAGAUCAGUUGGUUCUAAAACUCAGUCUUUAUUUUAGCUUUUUCAGUCAGUCGUUCUUGAAUUUUUCCAGAACUUUUUCCUCCUAAAAGCCUCCUUGAAUGCCAAGUUAAAGAGCCUUUAUAGGCAAGUCAUUUAGGGCAGCUUCAAAGUAUCAGUUUUACACCUUGCCCCUUUCAAUAUUUCCAUUUUAGCUUAGCAAACCUUAGUCAAUUUUUUAUUUUGCUUAACUACCCUUAGUUCAAAUGUCAGAAUUUCAGAAUAGUCCCCCUCCCCAGCUUCCCAGAAGCUUCCCAUUCAGUUACACAAUAUUUUCCUAGCCUAAAAUUCCCAAAUUGCCCCCAUGAGCCCCUGUUAUUACCCCUGAAACCAAAACCAAUAUGGGUCAAAGUUGACCCUAGGUUGAAUUAAUUCAAAACCCAGCCCAAACCAUGAGCCUGUACUAACAGCCCACUCUAAACUUAAUAGAAAUCUUCCAAACAGACCAACCCCUUGAAACUCAGCAGAAAACAAAAAUUCACUUAGAGAUGCUCGGAAAGCAGUUAUUUAGCUAUUAAGACGACUGAUUAAUCACAUUAUACCCAGGAUAUUGAUAUGCUAACCCGUUUGAUUUAACUUAAAAUUAAACUUAAAAUAAAGGGAAAUAAGGCUCAGAACCAUGGCUUUAAACAUUAACAAGAAUAAAAAGAAAAGAAACGGAAGAAGGUCGGUCCAAACAUAAAGCAGACGACAGAAACGAAAGAACAAAGAACAAAUACCUCGAUGGCCAUACGGACAGGGCUUGGUAAACUCAACGAUUCCAACUUGACUCGAAACUGGUAUUAAUCGUAUGUUCCUUUUGAGAACAAACGAGUAAUACUCGUUUCAAGCCCAAUCGUUCAUCAGAACUCGAGGACUUGAGAUGCUUUCUUCUCCUUUGAUUUCAGAUUUGAAACAGGUCCGAUUUGGUGAGGAUUUUGGGAAAAAUGGUGAUGGAUUAGGAUGCAGGGAGGGGUGAUGGUUGCAUGGCCAAAUUUUGGUGGUGAUUGAAGUUAUUUCGCCGGCGAUAAUGGCAGCUUGCUUGGAGAUGGCGUUAUCUGAUGAGGGAGGCGAGGGGAGGGUUUGUUUUGUCUUAGGUCUCAAUGGGGAAUUUCGGAUAGUCUUAUUCGAGAUGGGGG